rnacentral:rRNA from 1 species
UACGUAGGGGGCAAGCGUUAUCCGGAUUUACUGGGUGUAAAGGGAGCGUAGACGGCAUGGCAAGCCAGAUGUGAAAACCCAGGGCUCAACCUUGGGAUUGCAUUUGGAACUGCCAGGCUGGAGUGCAGGAGAGGUAAGCGGAAUUCCUAGUGUAGCGGUGAAAUGCGUAGAUAUUAGGAGGAACACCAGUGGCGAAGGCGGCUUACUGGACUGUAACUGACGUUGAGGCU